AAAAGGAGAGUACAUCCUCUUCAACUGGCUGAAGGACAUAAUCAAUCAUUUUCGGUGGACUGCCGACACACGUGGGCAGUUUCUUGCAUUAUGGGUUGCGGGGGAAGAUGUGGAUCCAGAGAGACUCCCAGUGCCACAAAGCUUUAGUGGAUAUAGUUCUCGAUAAGAGGUGGCAGAAAGAUGUUCACAACUAUCUGCGAUUCAGAUCGACUGCAGACCUAGAGUCAUUCCAGAAUCAUAUCCUGAUGUAUGCCAGCAAGCGCUAUGCUUUCAGCCAACCAGUUUAUGAGAACAAUGAAAAUGUUGGACGGCAAAGAGAUUUUCAAAAGAUUGUAUAAGAAGAACGCUAGAAGAUACAGCGUAUAUGCCUUGAAAUCUGAAAAAACCUACGGAUACAUUUACGAGUUGUAAAGAAGGAUUGUGAAGAACAGACUCACAAGUGGAGUGGGGAUGCCUAGAAGGAGGAGCCUUCUCCCAGAUGACACCAGACAGCUUGGUUUGGUGCCCCCCGUACCUGCACCAGCCACAUCAGACUUGUUACAGAGACAAGUCAGAAGAGGUCUAGGACCGUUAUUCCAACCAGCAUCUGAUGUGGAAGGAUCUUGUCAGGCAGGAUCACGAGGGAAAAGAACUUCAGUUCACUGACAAAGUAGCUUUUACUCUUCAAAAAGAGAAAUUUAUUAACAUUAAAUUCUGUUCCUACCCUCCUCCAGUGGUAAUUUCAUGUUUUUCCAUUUUGUACACGUUUCAUCUUAUUCUGCUAAGUACACUGUGACCAGCGCAUAUUAUUUUCAGUAGGUAGCCUAAAUUACAGUUUACAAUUUGAACAGUAAUGAUAAGUA